GAUGAACGCUGGCGGCGUGCCUAAUACAUGCAAGUCGAGCGAACAGACGAGGAGCUUGCUCCUCUGACGUUAGCGGCGGACGGGUGAGUAACACGUGGAUAACCUACCUAUAAGACUGGGAUAACUUCGGGAAACCGGAGCUAAUACCGGAUAAUAUAUUGAACCGCAUGGUUCAAUAGUGAAAGACGGUUUUGCUGUCACUUAUAGAUGGAUCCGCGCCGCAUUAGCUAGUUGGUAAGGUAACGGCUUACCAAGGCAACGAUGCGUAGCCGACCCGAGAGGGAGAAUGGCCACCCUGGAAGAGAGACAGGGCACAGACACCGGCGGGAGGCAGCAGUAGGGAAUCUUCCGCAAUGGGGGAAAGCCUGACGGAGCAACGCGGCGUGAGUGCUGAAGGUCUUCGGAUCGUAAAACUCUGUUAUUAGGGAAGAACAAAUGUGUAAGUAACUAUGCACGUCUUGACGGUACCUAAUCAGAAAGCCCCGGCUAACUACGUG
rnacentral:rRNA from 1 species